AGUUGUAGCUAGGGCUCUUUUAAUUUUUGAAAAAUGUCUGCUCUGUAAUAGUCUCAGGAAAACCAGAUCUAAGAGUCCUUCUUUUAUAUCUCUCAUUUUUAAAGAUACUAAUUCCUAUACUCAUGGUUAAGUCGUAGCGUUUUGUUCUGAAUUGGUCGUCUAAUCCAGUUGACUCCAACAAUUACUGAUGCAUGAUUUGUUUGCUUAGAUUCAAUUCCACUUCAGGAACACUUCUUUUUCUACUGGAAGAGUGGAGUUUCAGAAGAAGGUCUUUACCGAAAAAUUGUCAUAAUUUCAGAAUUCUCUUAAGAAUGUACCUGAAUUCAGAAUAUUCCAAAAUGGGUCAAACACUCUGAUUCUAAAACUUCACCUGGUACUUAGAAACAAAACACAAAACAUAAGCAACUAUCUAUAUUUAAUUAUCUAUCAUCUAUAUCUCUAUCCAUCGAUUCAUUGGACCAAAUAUCUAACUAGCUAACUAUGAAAGACAUGAAGAUCUCUGUUGAUACCUUAAUAAAAGAUUCUUCAGUGAUACUGCUAUUGGCAAUAGCCACAUACGGUGACCCAGAAGUAUUUAUAUCCUUCAAAGGAAGGCACCAUGGUAACAUUGAUCCAGAAUUGAUAAAUAGUUCACAUUACUUUUUAAGAGUAACUAAAAGUGUGCAGGUGCAAAUGUCAAGUGCUGAAUGAAGUAAAAGCACCUAUCACCAUCCUGGAGGACGAUGGCAGCAGAAUCAAGGGCACUGGCAGCCCAUCACAGCUCUGUCACUGUCAAAAUCCCUAUCAGCGGUCUUUCCAUAAGAUUAUCUGCUAUACCAGGGUCAUCAUUUUCAAUGGACAGGAUUCUGUUUGGUUUUCAAGCUUCAACUUAGACCAAAGAAGAGCUGUUACUCCACUACACUGAGGCAGAAGAAACACGAGGAUGUGGAAAGAUUAAGGCCUACCGGGGAUUCCUGUGAAACUUUUCCAAGCUGUUUCAGCAUUCAUGCUAUAGUCAUUACCACUUACCUAAUUUUAGCAAUGCGAAACUCUGGGAUUGCUGCAGUUUCUGAUUGCCACAACAUCAUCAAUUCUGCUCACGCUGAGUUUGCUGCACAAAACUUUCCAAACGCUAUAAUCUUGAAAACCAUCUGAUUGUCUUUUCUACUUUGAAGAAUAUGAGAAAUACAGUAACAUAUUAGUAAUUAUUUUACAAAAAUGAUUACUUUCCAAAAUUUUUAGUAGUUAUAAAAACUUAAUUUCAUUCAGUGCAUAACUUCUAAAAACAAAAAUAAUAAGAAAAUCCUGUUUGAAAAUAUG